rnacentral:tRNA from 1 species
CGCCCGGUCACCAGGGCGGAUUUCAAAACCGUCUUG